UUAGGCUUAUAUCGAAGCCACCUAUGCUCUUGUGUUUAGGAAUGGUCAAAAAUAAGCCUAAAUCAAGUCUUUGCAUUUGGUCGCAUGUCCUCGGUUUUUAAGAGUUCAUGCAUUACCCAUGUAAAGGACAUCU